rnacentral:rRNA from 1 species
UGCAAGUCGAACGAUGAAGCCCUUCGGGGUGGAUUAGUGGCGAACGGGUGAGUAACACGUGGGCAAUCUGCCCUUCACUCUGGGACAAGCCCUGGAAACGGGGUCUAAUACCGGAUACGACUGCGGGAGGCAUCUCCUGUGGUGGAAAGCUCCGGCGGUGAAGGAUGAGCCCGCGGCCUAUCAGCUUGUUGGUGGGGUAAUGGCCUACCAAGGCGACGACGGGUAGCCGGCCUGAGAGGGCGACCGGCCACACUGGGACUGAGACACGGCCCAGACUCCUACGGGAGGCAGCAGUGGGGAAUAUUGCACAAUGGGCGAAAGCCUGAUGCAGCGACGCCGCGUGAGGGAUGACGGCCUUCGGGUUGUAAACCUCUUUCAGCAGGGAAGAAGCGAAAGUGACGGUACCUGCAGAAGAAGCGCCGGCUAACUACGUGCCAGCAGC